rnacentral:lncRNA from 1 species
CGCGUGGCGUGCUUACGGUGCUAGACUGCUAGCUAGAGCUGCGGUGGCGUAGCAGCAGCCAGCAGCCAUGAGCAGCGGCAGCCGCGAGAGCAGGUGGCCGGAGUUCGCCGCCCUCCGCCGCGCGCUGAUGGCGCGCGACGCCGCCGUGCCGGGGAGGGAGCUGAGGCAGCAGCAGCAGCAGCCGGGGUGGCACGGCGGCGACCACGCCGCCGCGGCGGGCGGCAACGGCAAGAGGGCCAAGGUGAUGCACCUCCUGCUCUGGGGACCCAAGUGAUCGAUGUAUCCGAUCCGCUUAUCCGGCAACCUCUCGUGGCGCUCCGGCGAGUGUUUGCGGCGGCGGCUCGGCUCCGGCCGGCCGGCCGUGUACCAUGGCCGGACUGUAUUGUAAAUUUGUACCAUGGCCGGACUGUAUUGUAAAUUUGUACCAUGGUACUAGCUAGUACUAGUUGCUCCCUUGUCUUGCACCGGCCUCUUGCUGUUUGCUCAGACUGCUCGUCGCGUCGGUCAGUUUGGGUGUCAACUGCUGGAAGCUAUGGCUAGUAAGCUUUCUGUAAAAUAUACCAAGUCUGAGUGGUGUUUCUAGGUGUGAUUUAAAUUUGGAGAAGCAGAUUAUACCCCUGUAAUCUUAAAUUUGCCUGGUUGUGCCUGUGAAAUUCAGUUUUCCGACGCUACAUGCUUUCCCUUUUGGUCUUUUUUUGUGUGAGGGUUGCUACUUGCAAGUAGUUCAAAGUCCCAGAUCGGGAAGGUUAAUCAGCUCUUUUGCUUGAAGUUUUGUUGAAUCCUGAUGCGGUGCUAACAUCAAUUUUGCUGAGAACUGUGCGCUGUUUUGCAGCGGAGUUUUAUCUUGAAACUGGCGCACAGAGUUUGGAGUGCUUCGCUUCUUCGCAUCAUGGAAGCCAUGGAUCAACCUAGUUUCUCUUUUAGGUUGGCCUACCUGGUUUAGCGUGAAAGAAUCUUGAAAAGAGAACGUGAACAAGAAAAAGAAAGGAAUUUAAAUACUAAGGAAAGGAGAGAAAAGGGAAAGUGAACAGAAAAGGGACUUCAAUUAUAUCCAUAAAAGGUGAGAAGAUGAAGAAAAAAAAAUGUGAAUGCCUAUGUGCUAUCUUGUCCACGUAUGACUUGAGCAGCUGUGGAUUCUUAUCCGGAUGUGUCUCGUCUCUCUUUUUUUAUGGAACAAGAGGGGAUAUGUCCUCUACUGAUUAUAUAUUGAUAAAAGGAAUAGGAAAAAGUCUUACAACCCAGAACUUAAGAAACAAAGAAAGAAAAAAAAGAUCAUAAAUGUAAUUGAUCUUUAUAUUUAGCUAAAAAAAUAAUUGAUCUUCCUACUGAAAAAUGCAAGCUGCGGUAGCUAGAGAAGAAGAUUUCAGAAUUUGCCAUCAAAUUCACACGUCUCAUAUGAUUUUCAUGCAAUGCCGUACCGUAUAUUCUCUCCUUUCUAUGCCAUCUCAUAUUCUCUUGUCACUCGGCUUAUAGGCUAAUGGUGCUCACGGGAUUAGGCUCCAAUAAUUCGAGCAAGAUUGGCCAUCCAUUUUCUCUUAAAUGCGUGUCGUUGGCAUGCACCCUGAGCUGAGCUCCCUCCACCUCCACAAGAUGAAACAUGAAAGCGCCACAUAGAGGGGUGGGUGAGGGUGACCAGGCAACGAGUUGGUGUAGAUCCGAAUGCUUGGUUUGGAUUGAGCGGGAAUGGAAUUCCGUGAGAUCAGGGGCCAUAUGAAAAAGAAAGAAAAGGAAUGCGGGGAAGGAUACAAUGGCAUGUUUUGUAACCAAUUUACGUGUGGCCAAUUCUGAAAGGCUUGCAAAUUUGAUGGAAAAUCUUGUGAGAUGUGUAGAAAAAAGAAAUUCACAGUUAUUUAAACCUGAGUACCGGGGGAAAAAGAAGAACAUUUGAUAGAAGAACAAGAGAAUGAGAUCCCUUCAAACAACCUUUUUGUUGGUAAGAUUUUAAACUUCCUUGUACAUGGGAACUAAAGGUGAUGCUUAAAAGAGAACUGUGUAGUGAACUAGUGAUCACAUUAUUAGUGCACUGUAAGUGAGAUCGUCGGAGGAGGACAAUUGUAUUCUUCGAUUAAAAAGAAAAAUGCUGAAACCUUGGCAUGAAACCAAAAAGGAGAGAUGGAAGGAGAGAAGGGAAAAAAAAGUUACAAGACAAGCUAGGAGUAUGACGGAAUCUACAACAACGUUCAUAUGUGUUUUGCACUCUAGCUAUUCAACCAAGUACUUAACUGAUGAGGCCAUUUCUCUAUCGUAGUCAUAACCAAUUCGUGGGGAGUACCGCGCCUAGUAUAUUGGUACAUUGGAUAUGAUCCGAAUUCUAACGCGUAUCUUGUGGGGACGCUUGGAGGGCUCACGGUUUAGGUUAUGUGAUUAGCAAAUUUGUCUCCGUAAUUAACUGCAGUCAAGCCAUAUGGGAAGAGAAAAAGAUUCAUUGUAUUUACUGUGUUAUAACUCUCUUAUUAUAUUGAAGAUCGUUGAUUGGAUCCCGUGGUUUUUUUCCGCGAGGCACGUAAAAAUUGUGUGUCGUGUUCGAUAUUAUUUUUGCUUUAUUUGCUAACAGCUUACUUGGCGCUCGAUCCCCUUGCUUUAUAUGCUAACAGCUUACUUGGCGCUCGAUCCUUUGGGGACAUCGAUCACCAGCUAGCUCAUCUACAGCGCUAUCCUAUUCCUCAUCUCGGCUGGUGUCGAUGACGAACUUCCUCCAGAUGAGCUAGCUGAGCGCCAAGUAACUGGGUUAGUUGACGGGGGCGGCGUAAGCCGCCGAGCUCUGAGACUGCUCGGCGCCAUGGCACGGCAGCCCUGCAGGUCUACGGCGGCCUGCAGGACGAACCUGUUCUGCCGGCGAGCAUGCCUGUCCAGAUCACACCGAGCGAGAACGCCGCGCCGGCGCGCCGCCGAGAUCGGCGACACCCCACGCGAUCGAUCGCUUGGAUCUCUCACUGAUCGAUCACUUGAUUAUUACUUGAUCCGGACGACCUGACCGCCUCCGACCAGGCGACGCCGCACCGAGCUUUUCUCAGACUUGAAUCGCCCGCGCCGUGACGCCGAGGGCCGAGACACGCGACGGAAGUGAGGGGAAAAAAUCGGGCAAGACCACGUACGUCAACAAGAUAUUUCCGGCCGCUCGACCGGCGGCCACUCGUCGAUCGCGCGGCACUUUUUUUUUUUUUUUGCUGUCUCUUAUCCACAGCUGCGGCACCGGAGAUCCGUCACGUCUCGCUAUUAGACCUACUCGAGCUUCGCCGCUUUAUAUAACUGACCAGCUUGGUGUCUGGAGUAGCUGGUGACAGAAGCAAGAACCCGAUCGAGAGAGGCGCGUGGCGUGCUAGACUGCUAGUGCUGCGGUGGUGCAGUAGCAGCAGCGGCAGCUAGCAGCUAGCAGCCAGCAGCCAUGAGCAGCGGCGCCCGCGAGAGCAGGUGGCCGGAGUUCGCCGCCCUCGGCCGCGCGCUGAUGGCGCGCGACGCCUCCGUGCCGGGGCGGGAGCUGCGGCAGCAGCAGCAGCAGCAGCCGGGGUGCCGCGGCGACCACGCCGCCGCGGCGGGCGGCAACGGCAAGAGGGCCAAGGUGAUGCACCUCCUGCUCUGGGGACCCAAGUGAUCGAUGUAUCCAGUAUCCACUUAUCCGGCAACCUCUCGUGGCGCUCCGGCGAGUGUUUCCGGCGGCGGCUCGGCUCCGGCCGGCCGGCCGGCGGCCGGAGUGUCCUGUACCAUUGAACUACUACUACUUAUUGUACUUGUUCCUUUUCUUGCACCACUUUGCUGUUUGCUCAGACUGAUCGCCGUCGGUCAGUUUGGGUCUCAGUUGUCAACUGAUGGAAGCUACUAUAGCUAAAAAGCUUUCUGUAACAUACCAAGUCUGAGUGGUGUUUCUAGUUAAGGUUUGGAGCAGCAGAUUGUACCCCUGUAAUCUAAGAACGCGUGCUCGUGUUGUUGUGUGCCUGUGAAAUUUGGUUUUCCUACGCUUUUCUGUGCAGUCAAAUAACUCAUCCAGCUCA